GUGAAUAAAGAGAUCCUUGGUGCCAUCAUUGGGGGUUAUGAAUCCAAAUCCCUUGGUAUCAUAUCUGGAAUCAUUAAACGACAACUCUCAAUUCAAAUUUCAAGAAGAUGCUUGCCUCAUUGAACUAGUCAAAAAGUAUGGUAUCAAGAGGUGGUCCAUUAUUUCCAAAUACUUACCAGGUCGGAUUGGAAAGCAAUGCCGAGAAAGGUGGAACAAUCAUCUUGAUCCAACUAUAAAGAAGGAUGCGUGGACAGAGGAGGAGGAAAAAUACUUGCUUAGUGUCACCAACACUACACCAGAAGUGGCAAUAGAUAGCACUAUUUAGAUAACGCUUAAUUAAUAAGUGUUGUGUUUUAAAACAUGAAACGUUAAAAAAGCGCUUAAUUAAAUAAGCGCUAUAAUAUAGUUUUAUAUAGAGAGCACUUAAUAAACAAAAUGCUAUCUUUGUGUUAUUAUAUUUAUAAAAAAAUAUGUUAUAGCGCUUUUAUUAAAAAGUGCUUUCUAAAAGUGACAAUAGAUAGCACUAUUUAGAUAGCACUUAAUUAAUAAGUGUUAUGUUUUAAAACAUGAAAUGUUAAAAAAGCGCUUAAUUAAAUAAGCGCU